AGCAUACCACAUGAAGUAAAUUUGAGGAAGUUCUUUGAGUGGCUCAUCAGCCUAAUGAUCUAUCCAAAUUCUGGCUCCCCUAGUUCUUCCAUUAGCAAUCCUACUCCCUUUGAAACAAGUGAUAUUUUAUGGAAAGGUAGCAUACAAAAAGUUAAUAUACAUUACGGAUUUGUCUAUGGAGAGAUGACAAGUUAUCUACUCUGAGAAAUCUAUAUCAGCUAAUGGAUCUUGCAAUAUUCUGAUGAAUCUUGCAAUAUUCUGAUGAGUCUCGGAAUGUCAGCUGAGCUAAGGCUGGUGAAUGAGAAAUCUGACUGCUGAGAAAUUUUCUUGUGACUUGAGCUACUCCUGCAAGUCCUCUUGAAGCUGAAAUGGAGGUGUUUUGCAGACUCAAUCAUGAAAUUCAUAAGGGAAUCCAGGGGCCACAAGAUCUAAGAUAUAGGAAAGUAUUAUACAACAUCAUGAAGAAUGGGAAGCUUGACCUAUGAACAAGGAAA
rnacentral:lncRNA from 1 species